rnacentral:rRNA from 1 species
UCGUCUUUUGAGGUCCCUGAUAAAAGAUAAUGCCUGCCCAGUGAAAUCUUUAAACGGCCGCGUUAGCGUGAGCGUGCUAAGGUAGCGUAAUAAUUAGCCUUUUAAUUGGAGGCCAGUGAAUGGCAAGACUAGGAACACCUUUACUUUGUGGUGUCAGAAAAACUUUUCAUCUAAGCGAAAAGACUUAGAUAGUGAAGGAAGACGAAAAGACCCCGCGGAGCUUUACCUUUUCUUGCGCUUCUGUUUAUACACUUAAAAGUGCUUAAGGUUUGAUUGGGGCAAUCUCGGAAUCAUCAAAGCUUCCGAUUCUUCAGAAUAGCACAUCUAAAACUUACUAAGGACCAAAAAGAAGCUACCCCGGGGAUAACAGCGUAAUCCAACUCAAGAGUACAUAUCGAAAGUUGGGUUUGCGACCUCGAUGUUGGCUUAAGGAUAUCCACAUUAGUGCAACCGCUAUGAUAGGAUAGUCUGUUCGACUAUUAUACCCUUA